GAACUGUAGAAGCAUGACCACUGGGUAUAUUCACAUAGCAUUAAGUAUCUUCACCAACUGUCAUUGGUUAGACCAGGUCUUCCAGUUGAGUGGCUGCCGUUCCUACUGUAUGUUCUAGCCUACAAAGAAGAUUGAUCUUGCAACACCUCAAGGAUUCUGGGGCUCCUCUCAGAAAUUUUUUAAAAUAUUGGUGAAGAGUAUGUCUUCUAAAUUCAUCCAGUGUGUAAGAGAAAAAGAGGGGGAAGAUGACAGGAGAAAGAAGAUAAAGAGAAGCAAGAGGAAAAAAUACACAAGUAAACUGGAGAAUAAUGAAGUAAUUUACAUAACUAAAAUUUAAAAAUAAAUUGAUAUGUUGUAUAAGGAAAUCACUUACACACAGUAUGUCUUUCUCAAAUAUGCAAAGCAGCCAUCAAUAAAAUAAACAAAAGAUAAUCUUUGACCUGAUUUAAAAUACAGGGUAUUCACAAUUAAAGAACACACACACACACAAAUCCCAAUAGAAACACUAGUUUAUCGUAACAUUCCACUGUUUUGCACAGUGAAGAACAACAAUCAUACAUUAUAUAUCUUAUUAUAGUAGUGAAGAAAACAAAAGAGGACGUGAAGUCUAAAUGAGAAAAAAAUAACAGAAGAAAGUUAUAUUUUUAUUUAUGAUUUGGCCACACCUACCUACUCUUUAUUUUGUCAUGUCCUUCUGUUUAAAUCAAGAAUUAUUUUCUUCUAUUCUCAAUAGCAAGUACAUGAAAUCAACCCAAAUGCCCAUCAAUGAUAGACUGGAUAAAGAAAAUGUGGUACAUAUACACCAUGGAAUACUAUGCAGCCAUAAAAAGGAAAGAGAUUAUGUCCUUUGCAGGCACAUGGAUGGAGCUGGAAGUCAUUAUCAUCAGCAAACUAACACAGGGACAGAAAACCGAGCACCACAUGUUCUCACUUAGAAGUGGGAGCUGAAAAAUGAGAACACAUGGACGCAGGGUGGGGAACAAC
rnacentral:lncRNA from 10 species